UUAUUUUUUCACUUUUAGUCACUUCACUCUUAUGUCAUUUAAUCACUGUUUUAUCAGAAUGAUAUAGGCAUAUCUAUGCUUUUUUUUUUUUUUCAAGUUGAUAUAGGCACGAGUAAACUAAUUUUCCAGAUUUAUAUUAGCUUAGGCUUGUGUGUGAUUUUUUCUCUUUUAGUCACUUCACUCUUGGAUCACUUAAUCACUGUUUUUUUUCAGUUUGGUGCAGUCAAUGUUCAAUGUUUUGGCUAUUUUUUCACUUAGUUUUAUAAUUGUAAGUUACUAUGUUUGCUAAUGUCUCCAGUUCAUCAGAUAGUGUUGCAUCAAGCAUUUGUUCUGAAAGUUGAUUCCUUGUUCAAACUUCCCUAAAAAUUGAUACGACGUGGCUUUAAUGAUCAUGAAGGUUCGUGACUUUUCUAUUAUAGUGGAUAAAGUUUAGUGACAAUACGUGUAGCUCUGAGCUUAGCUUGCACAUUAGCUUGUCAAGAGCUUAAUGGAAACAUCUGGCAAACUCAGUCAUGGGCUGGAAACACCUUGUUCCAUUUAAAAAUCAGUUUGUUGGACAACAACCUACUGGUGGCACACUUAUGAUGCCAACCUUCCAUGCUCCGAGGCUGUACAAAGUCUAUUAUAUACAAAUGUGGUGUUAGCUUCCGAUACAUACCUCUUUAGGAUUUUACUUAUGCAAACAAGACCAUCCUUUAUGUGGUUCUCAUACGCUUCCAUGAGAAGGACCAAGUGCAGCAGUUAGAUUUCUGCACACAGUGACAAAUUGAUUGAUCUGCUGAGGCAAGUUCAGGACAUUCUGUUUGGAGAGUGAUAGGUUACUAUUUUUCACUGGAGCUUCAAGGUCAAAGAGAAAUGUCAAUCAACUAGUUGGAUCUAAGCAACUUGUUGCCUCGUCAAGUGCAGUUCCUGAUGAAGAUUCUGAUGAAUUUGAACAGGAUGACCAAUCAAUUUUAAAGCCUAAGGCAAUAUCUGAAGCUAAGACUAGGCUUCAAGCCAAAAAAAUGUUGUCAACCAACUGAUACUAGGAGGAGAGAAAUGAAAAUGGAGUUAGUGUGCCUGUUAAUUUGCCGUACUCACCAAGAAACUGACUUGGAAAAGCAAAACAACUCCGACUUCUAACCAGUUGACGGUUGAAAAGGAGAAAAAAAUGGGCAAACUAAAGACAAGGAGGGGUGGAAAGCAAUAGAAAAGAAGUGACUGAAUGUAUAAUCUAGUUUGAAUUGUUAUGUAAUGGCAAAAUGAAACUUUAUAUUUGAUUGUUUUUUAUGUUAAUUAGACUUGAAAGUUGUUGUAUCUGGAAAGAAAUGACCAAUGGUUUGUGUUUUUUGAACAAUGCAAUUGCAUAUGAGAAUGUCAUUGCUUGUGGUU